UAGACACAUCUAUCAAAUGUCAGUGGAGUAAAAUAAAGUCCCCAUGACCAGAAAGCCAAUGUCCUCUACUUACAACGGUGGAGAAACGACAGUGCCCUGCAUUCACAAGAGGAAGGACCUCAGUAAAUGCUGCAGAAUGCUCAAAGGAAGGAAUAGCAAGAGGACAGCUGGGCUGUAAGCCUGAGGAUAAAGGAGUGGGCAGGUGCCACCAUGGCCAAAAUGGAUGUUGGGAAGGAAAUAUCCUUCUAGAAAAUACGUACACUAUCAGCUGUUAAGAGUGGCAUCAGAAAGUUGAGGUGGAGAGUGCCAGCUGUGGAGUCAAAUUCCUUGGGUUCAAAUCCUGCUUCCACAACUUAACUACUAUGUCACUAUGGG